UACGUAGGUGACAAGCGUUGUCCGGAUUUACUGGGCGUAAAGAGCGCGCAGGCGGUCGUUCAAGUCGAGUGUGAAAGCCCCCGGCUCAACUGGGGAGGGUCAUUCGAUACUGAUCGACUCGAAGGCAGGAGAGGGAAGUGGAAUUCCCGGUGUAGUGGUGAAAUGCGUAGAUAUCGGGGAGGAACACCAAUGGCGAAGGCAGCUUGCUGGGACGGUACUGACGCUGAGACGCGAAAGCGUGGGGAGCAAACAGGG
rnacentral:rRNA from 1 species